rnacentral:lncRNA from 1 species
CAAGAACAACCCAUCGGCUGAUACAGUAAAACAAACAGUAGAGGAGCCUCUGCUAGCUGCAUCUUGAUGUCUCACAGGCCUGCAGCACAAGUGGCGUAUAUCAAUUAGAGCUGCAGACUCGAACGAGAGUAACAAAGCAUGGGAAACUAGAGACAAAAAGGAAAACAGCAAGCAGCGAAAAAGGCGGCCCGGAGGAAGACGAGCGAGAUGCGUGUUGCAGAAGCUUGCCCAAGAGUUACGUGGCGAGAGUACCGCUACAGUUUCUCCCUCCCUUCUCUGCUAGCUGCCAUGGCUUUUGGGGGUGGGGACGCCGGACGGGCGACGGAGUCGAGCACCUGCAUGCCUCUCGUGGCCUGAGGCGGGCUCGCACUCCCACCAAGCGAGCUGCUGCUCUGAUGCAUGCACUGCGUGCCUCGUUGCUUUCAUGCCGUUCUGGUGUAAGCUCCAACCCCCCUGCGCUGGCUUUACAGCCCUCCUUUGAUGGUUACGUAUUAAGCGCGGGCUACGAGGCGGGAGCGCAGCGGCCCUGCGCCUUUUUCUUGUUGGCUUCAUUCAUCCUUCUUGGAAGGAGCUAAGCAAUGAUGUGCAUCUGUAGUUGGGUUGUUGGGU